CAAUUGUGCUCAGGUUGUCAGUCCAAGUAAUCAAUAUCAAUUCUGUAGUAAUGAUAACAAUGAAGAGAAGAAUGAGGAAAGAAAUUUGAGGAAAAGCAGAUCUCUGUUCCACAUGGAGAAAUGUAAAUGUAGAUGGUCACAACAACGGAUAAUGGUGUUACGAAGAACCAAUGCACAAAUGAUAAGGGAGUGAAACAUCGAAUAAUUGAUUGGCUUUGAACAAUGUCAUACUGCUGAAUGCCAUCCAAAGAUGGUGGUAAGGCCUUGUGAUAUCAAGAAGUGAGUCACUCACCGAAAAUGCCAAGCUUCUGGCCUGCUCUUGCAACUGUAGUAAGUCAUGUGGCUGUUCUACAUGAGUUCCUGCUCAGUGAUUACCCCCAGGAUAUUGCUGAUCCCGCUGGCUAUUGGGAAGUCAAUAGUAUAACCCCAUCAGAGUGAUUGCACCUUUUUCAUUCCUGAGUUCUACUCAUAUGACCUCACUGGAUGAGCCCUCCAAUAUUUAAGUUUUUCCUGUCCCUCUACAUGAAUGGGUUUGUGGAUUCCACACCAUGCAGGUCCUCACGAUCUCCCUUGACAAGGAAUCCAGGUGGCUCUUCACUACACCUUGUGGUUGAAUGGAUCACUCCAAGUAUUUUUCAUCUUUAUUUAGAAAACAGCAGCAAGCUACAAUAUGUUGCCACUGGCCAGAAAUUCGGGUUGAACAAUUCUACCUUGAUAAUAAUUACUGGUCAAACUAAUAAAAUGAAGCAACUUGUUGCAACAUAAUAUGGUCACUGUAUUUGAAUUGAUAGCGUAGAACUUCGGAUUAGUAUUUUGGUGAGUUAAAGUCAGCAUGGGAACUGAGACUACAGAGUCUUAAAGGGAGCAGGGGAACCAUAGCCCAAUUGAUAUGAUGAAUGGAAUCUGUACCUUAUGCAAUUUCAUGAAACAUUUUACCAUGUAUUCCUGUUGGCUAGACGCAAAACAAGACCAUCAACGAAAUUGCAACAUCCUUCAUGAACAGUAUGUUUCUG